UACAUGACUCUCGGCAAUGGAUAUCUUGGCUCUUGCAUCGAUGAAGAGCGCAGCGAAAUGCGAUACGUGGUGCGAAUUGCAGAAUCCCGUGAAC
rnacentral:rRNA from 1 species